rnacentral:tRNA from 1 species
GGAGAUGUAGCUUAAUGGUAAAGUGUUUGCCUAGCAUGCAUGAGCCCCUGGGUUCAAUCCCCAGUACCA